rnacentral:misc_RNA from 1 species
GAUGAAGAACGUAGCGAAAUGCGAUAAGUAAUGUGAAUUGCAGAAUUCAGUGAAUCAACGAAUCUUUGAACGCACAUUGCGCCCGCCAGUAUUCUGGCGGGCAUGCCUGUUCGAGCGUCAUUUCAACCAUCAAGCCCCAGGCUUGUGUUGGGGACCUGCGGCUGCCGCAGGCCCUGAAAACCAGUGCGGGCUCGCUGUCACACCGGGCGUAGUAGAUUUUAUCUCGCUCAGGGCGUGCUGCGGGUUCCGGCCGUUAAAAAGCCUUUUUUACCCAAGGUUGACCUCGGAUCAGGUAGGAAGACCCGCUGAACUUAAGCAUAUCAAUAAGCGGAGGA